CUUCUCCUAUUUUUCUUUUUGUCACGUGAAUUCAAAUUUUAUAUCAACUUUAUAUAAAAUAUAAAAGAUAAAAAAUUCCUUUAAAUAUAUAGAUUUAGAUUUGUUACUUUAUGAGAGGUGGUGCUUUUUAGUUAGUUUCCAAUUAAAUUAACGUUAUAUUAACUCAUGACACUAUAUCUAAAAUUAUAUAUAUAGCUCCCAAUUGAUUAACUACCACAUGGGUUAUUCAUAUUUUAAGUUAAUUAAUAAUAUUUAAAAUUUUUUAUUAGUUAAAAAAAAAGGAUUUCAUAUAAGUGAUAAGGUCAAAACAAAGAUUAACCAUUAAAAAAAUCCUAUUUUCCUUAAAAUAUUUGUAAAAUAAAUAUUUUUUACUAUAUUUGAUGAGUUCUGUUAUAAGCUCAAUUUGCCCGGCCCGUUUAUAAUCCUUAAACCCAACACCCAAAACCAAACUAAAUUAAAAUAAGCCCACUACCCGGUUACAAGCCCAAAAAAAUAAACCUAGCCCAUUCCUAAUAUUUUCAGAAAAUAAGAAAAAAACCUAGCCCCUAUUGCCUAUUCGGCGCCGAACCUAGCCCCGAGACUCUGUCACCGCCACUGGUGGCCACUUGCUCCACCACCAACUACUCCUGCAAAGAAAAGACAAGGAUUAAAUGCGAAAACAGUGAAGAAAACAGAGAAUGUUGUAAAAAUUGGCUAUAUAAAAGCCUAAGAGAUCGAAAGCAAGGGUUUUUUUUUUCUCUUGGAACACAAAAAAGGGUUGUAUUACACGGACAUUGAAAUACAAAACAGUGAUAAAAAAAAAUCAGAUUGAAAGAAAUAGGUGAUUUUCCUUCACUUUUAUUCUAUUUUCUUCCAAACUUGAAAGCAAAAAAAAAAAGAUCUGAAUAUAUUGAUAAAGAAUAAUAGAAAAGGAAGGGGAAGAUACACACUUACCGGAGGCGUUUUGUCUUCCUCCGUUGGCCUUACUCUCCGGCGCCAAGGCCCAAGACCCCUUGGGGUCCGAUUCGGGGUUCGACGGCACGCCGAUUUUCAGAGAAACCGCCCCUUUUUCUCUCUUUCCUCACUCUCCUCGCGAAGGUCGGAGACUUCAUCUCCAAGAGGGCUCGAGAACGGGCUUUAAGGUCACCACAGACGGUUGGGCCGUCGUUGGUGUUCAAUGACAUGAGCUCGGCAGUCCCCAAGGUCGGAGUCUGAGGGCUAGAGAGAAUAAUGGGAAGGUUGAGAGGGCAUUUGGUUUUUUCUUUUUCUUUUUUUCUUUCGGAAGAAUGAUUAAGUGUUUAGGUUUUAGGGUUUUUUUCCUUUAUACGUCAUAAAACGACGUCGUUUAGAGCCCUUUGCAAUGGCUUCAAAAUGGCGUCGUAUAGG
rnacentral:lncRNA from 1 species